rnacentral:rRNA from 1 species
AGCGAACGCUGGCGGCAGGCUUAACACAUGCAAGUCGAACGGAUCCUUCGGGAUUAGUGGCGGACGGGUGAGUAACACGUGGGAACGUGCCCUUAGGUUCGGAACAACACAGGGAAACUUGUGCUAAUACCGGAUGUGCCCCUUACGGGGAAGGAUUAUCGCCUUUGGAGCGGCCCGCGUCUGAUUAGCUUGUUGGUGAGGUAAAGGACUCACCAAGGCUACGAUCAGUAGCUGGUCUGAGAGGAUGGCCAGCCACAUUGGGACUGAGACACGGCCCAAACUCCUACGGGAGGCAGCAGUGGGGAAGUCUUGCGCAAUGGGCGGAAAGCCUGACGCAGCCAUGCCGCGUGGAUGAUGAAGGUCUUAGGAUUGUAAAAUCCUUUCAGCGGGGACGAUAAUGACGGUACCCGCAGAAGAAGCCCCCGGCUAACUUCGUGCCAGCAG